GAGUUUGAUCAUGGCUCAGAUUGAACGCUGGCGGCAGGCCUAACACAUGCAAGUCGAGCGGAAACGAGUUAUCUGAACCUUCGGGGAACGAUAACGGCGUCGAGCGGCGGACGGGUGAGUAACGCGUGGGAACAUGCCCUUUGGUACGGGAUAACAUCUGGAAACGGGUGCUAAUACCGUAUAAGCCAAAUUUUGGGAAAGAUUUAUCGCCGAAGGAUUGGCCCGCGUAAGAUUAGAUAGUUGGUGAGGUAACGGCUCACCAAGUCUACGAUCUUUAGCUGGUCUGAGAGGAUGAUCAGCCACACUGGGACUGAGACACGGCCCAGACUCCUACGGGAGGCAGCAGUGGGGAAUAUUGGACAAUGGGCGCAAGCCUGAUCCAGCCAUGCCGCGUGAGUGAAGAAGGCCUUAGGGUUGUAAAACUCUUUCACCGGUGAAGAUAAUGACGGUAACCGGAAAAGAAGCCCCGGCUAACUCCGUGCCAGCAGCCGCGGUAAUACGGAGGGGGCUAGCGUUGUUCGGAAUCACUGGGCGUAAAGCGCGCGUAGGCGGUUUGAUAAGUUGGGCGUGAAAUCCCGG
rnacentral:rRNA from 1 species